GGGGCCGUAGUCUAGCCAGGGAUGACACUGGGGAAGGAAAACAGCCCCUCAGCAUAUGGACGGGCUCCAGAAUCAACUAGGACGGGUAUGCCGACCAGGAGUAUCUGGGGAUGAGGAAAUUCAGGAGCGCGUGAAGAUACCCGUAGACGAGACGGACUCGGCGGAGGUCGUGGGUUCAAAUCCCACCGGCCCCA
rnacentral:tRNA from 1 species